rnacentral:misc_RNA from 1 species
CCUUUCUACGGAGAAUACAGGAUGCUGUCUGGCAUCCGGUGUGUGCCCCACGGCCGUGAUAGUCGCGGUCUGGUUGGGGUUGCUGGUGUGGAAGAGAUCUUGGCUGUGGGCGUGCGGGGUUUCCCGUGCGGGCGGGCUUGUCCCGUGUGGUUGGUGGUAUGGCAUGCUUUUGGGUUCCCGGAUCGCCACCCUCCGAGCCGUCUGGCUUCGGGGUGCGGGUCCGAUUCCGCCGGGUUUCCGUGUUGGUCCUUGUGUGGGCUGGUGUGGUGCCUGGUGUGUGUUGGUGGUUUGAGAACUGGAUAGUGGACGCGAGCAAGAGAACGAAUUUGUUUUUCUUGUUUUGUUGAUUUCGAUCGAACUCCGAGGCUUUGUCUUCGGGUGUUCGUUCGGUCGUUUUUGUUGUGACCGUCAACGUGUUGUGUUGAUGUGUCGUCCGAUGUAUUCGCGAAUUUGGUUUUCGCCGGCUUUCACGCGUUGUGUG